rnacentral:lncRNA from 1 species
GGGCAGUCUCUCUGAAAGAGGUUUUGAAAACAGCAGGGACUCACAUGAUUUAAAACUUAGAAUCAUCACCUCUACAAUAUUGCAAUCAAUAUCUAAGAAGUCCUAAUCACAGAAGCACAUUAUACAAUAUCAUAGCUUAGCAACCAAAUUCACCUAGCCAACAUCUUAGCAAAUCAUGUCUGACAUUCCCCUCUACCAACCUCAUUUCUUAACAUAAAUAAAUGUGUAUGCUUUACCUUGGGAGUAUCGAUCACAAGACACAUGGACUCUUACCCCAACAGGUAUCUGAGUAAACAGGUAGUCUUGUUCUGGUUUCUUUUACUCUAUAUCUCCUUUCUCUGAAUCCUUUUUAUCUCAAUUCCAAUGAAAAAAGAUGCUGAUGCACUCCAUCUUAUUCACCUUCUUUUCGAUUUUUUUUAUUAUUAUUAUUAUUUUUGUUUUUUUUUCUUUUUCUUUUCUUGACAAAGUGUAGGCGAAUAGUGGGGUCAUCGGUAAUGUACCUACCCCUCGCUUCCAACAAUGUGUGAUCAUUCUAUUAGAGUAGAAUAAUGAGGUCAUCGGUAAUGUACCUACCUCUAAACCACAAGAAAUCAUCUCAAUCUUUUAUUUUAUUUUUAUUAGGAUGCCAAAGGGAGGAGAUAAAGAAACCAAAAUCACUCAGACUUUUACCUUUCAGACCUGAAGGAGGAAUCCGAUCCAGUGUAUACCAAGCCCCAAGACAAGCAGUUAAGUCAAAUUAGGUUGGAGGUGAGCUUCGGUUCCUUCAAACAAUCUCAGCAAGUGUGAACAUAAUUGACAGGUUGAUCCACUUUAGUAUCUUUAGUACUAUCUGUAAUCAGUAAGUCUAGAAUGGUGCUAAAGAGUGGUUAGAUAACAAGCAUGAAUCUAAU